rnacentral:rRNA from 1 species
AAUUAUAUGCUUGUCUUAAAGAUUAAGCCAUGCAAGUCUAAGUACGGCCCUUCAUUUAUGGGGGCGAGACUGCGGACGGCUCAUUAAAUCAGUUAUGAUUCCCAAGAGCCGGCGAAACCUACUUGGAUAACUGUGGCAAUUCUAGAGCUAAUACAUGAAACUGAAGCUUCGCCUGCGCGUCGUUCGCGCGGCGUGCGGGAGGAGCGCACUUGUUAGCCUCAAACCAAUCCGUCGUUGCCCGCAAGGGGAGCGGCGGUCUCACUGGUGAACUCUGGACAACUUUGCCGAUCGCAGGGCCUUCGUGCCGGCGACACAUCUUUCAAGUGUCUGACCUAUCAACUAGAUGGUUUGCGCUCUGCGCACCAUGGUGACAACGGGUGACGGGGAAUCAGGGUUCGAUUCCGGAGAGGGAGCAUGAGAAACGGCUGCCACAUCCAAGGAAGGCAGCAGGCACGCAACUUACCCAAUGCCGAGACGGCGAGGUAGUGACGAAAAAUAACAAUACGGGACUCUCUUUACGAGGUCCCGCAAUUGAAAUGAGUACACUCUAAAUCCUUUAACGAGGAUCUAUUGGAGGGCAAGUCUGGUGCCAGCAGCCGCGGUAAUUCCAGCUCCAAUAGCGUAUGUCAAAGUUGUUGCGGUUAAAAAGCUCGUAGUUGGAUCUCGGUGUCGGGCUGGUGGUGCGCCCGUAGUGGCGAUCUACUGCCAGUUCCCCGGCGAAAAGAGGCCGGCAGUUUUUCCCUUGGUGCUCUUGACUGAGUGUCUCGGGUGGCCGGAACGUUUACUGUGAAAAAAUUAGAGUGCUCAAAGCAGGCCUUCGUGCCCGAAUAUUGGUGCAUGGAAUAAUGGAGGACGACCUCGGCUCCACUUUGUUGGUUUACGGUGCUCGAGGUAAUGAUUAAGAGAGACUGCCGGGGGCAUACGUACUGCGGCGCGAGAGGUGAAAUUCUGUGACCGUCGCAGGACGAACGAAAGCGAAGGCAUUUGCCAAGAAUGUUUUCAUUAAUCAAGAACGAAAGUCAGAGGUUCGAAGACGAUCAGAUACCGUCGUAGUUCUGACCGCAAACUAUGCCAACUGACCCUCCGCCGGAGUUGCUUUAUUGACUCGGCGAGGAGCCCCCGGGAAACCAAAGUCUUUGGGUUCCGGGGGGAGUACGGUUGCAAAGCUGAAACUUAAAGGAAUUGACGGAAGGGCACCACCAGGAGUGGAGCCUGUGGCUUAAUUUGACUCAACACGGGAAACCUCACCCGGUCCGGACACUGGAAGGAUUGACAGAUUAACGCUCUUUCUUGAUUCAGUGGGUGGUGGUGCAUGGCCGUUCUUAGUUGGUGGAGCGAUUUGUCUGGUUAAUUCCGAUAACGAACGAGACUCUUGCCUGCUAAAUAGUUCGGGGAUGAUCAAUACCGUCCCCGCCGUCAACUUCUUAGAGGUACAAGUGGCGUUUAGCCACACGAAACGGAGCAAUAACAGGUCUGUGAUGCCCUUAGAUGUCCGGGGCCGCACAUGUGCUACAAUGAAUGUAUCAACGGGUAUCAGCCUCGCCCGGAAGGGUAGGGGAAUCCUCUGAACCGCAUUCUCAGUAGGGAUUGGGGAUUGCAAUUAUUUCCCAUCAACACGGAAUUCCCAGUAGGCGUCAGUCAUCAGCUGGCGUCGAUUGAGUCCCUGCCCUUUGUACACACCGCCCGUCGCUACUACCGAUCGCCCUUGAGAAUGAGCCUGUCGGAUUGGACCCGGUGAGCGGGCGCUUGUCGCCUGCGAGCUCUGGUGCCGCCGAGAAGAUCGGCAAAUUCCCUGGGGUAGAGGAAGUAAAAGUCGUAACAAGGUAU